rnacentral:rRNA from 1 species
GACGAACGCUGGCGGCGUGCCUAACACAUGCAAGUCGAACGAGGUCCAUCCUUCGGGAGAAGACCUAGUGGCGAACGGGUGAGUAACACGUGAAGAACCUGCCCCGAAGACCGGGAUAACCCUCCGAAAGGAGAGCUAAUACCGGAUACCCCCACCGAACCGCAUGGUUUGGUGAGGAAAUGGAUUCCGCUUCGGGAGGGCUUCGCGGCCUAUCAGCUAGUUGGUGGGUAACGGCCACCAAGGCAUCGACGGGUAGCUGGUCUGAGAGGACGAUCAGCCACACUGGGACUGAGACACGGCCCAGACUCCUACGGGAGGCAGCAGUGGGGAAUCUUGCGCAAUGGGCGAAAGCCUGACGCAGCAACGCCGCGUGGGGGAUGAAGGCUCUCGGGUUGUAAACCCCUUUCAGCAGGGACGAAUCAAGACGGUACCUGCAGAGAAGCCCGGCUAACUACGUG